GAUGAACGCUGGCGGCGUGCCUAAUACAUGCAAGUCGAGCGAACGGACGAGAAGCUUGCUUCUCUGAUGUUAGCGGCGGACGGGUGAGUAACACGUGGAUAACCUACCUAUAAGACUGGGAUAACUUCGGGAAACCGGAGCUAAUACCGGAUAAUAUUUUGAACCGCAUGGUUAAAAGGUGAAAGACGUUCUUGCUGUCACUUAUAGAUGGUUCCGCGCUGCAUUAGCUAGUUGGUAAGGUAACGGCUUACCAAGGCAACGAUGCAUAGCCGACUUGAGAGGGUGAUCGGCCACACUGGAACUGAGACACGGUCCAGACUCCUACGGGAGGCAGCAGUAGGGAAUCUUCCGCAAUGGGCGAAAGCCUGACGGAGCAACGCCGCGUGAGUGAUGAAGGUCUUCGGAUCGUAAAACUCUGUUAUUAGGGAAGAACAUAUGUGUAAGUAACUGUGCACAUCUUGACGGUACCUAAUCAGAAAGCCACGGCUAACUACGUG
rnacentral:rRNA from 1 species